AUUAAUUAAUUAAUUAAGAUUGACCAACAGUCUUGAGGUCGCAAAUUUGAAGUGCUGUUUGGCUGCACUGUAGGCCUACUGUUCAUUUUCAGAUUCUUCAUCACCAUAGUACUCAAUGCUUUUUUCAAAUCAUCUGGAUUGUGUGAAUAUCAAAUAUCUCUUCCAUCAGUUGCUUACAUGCUUCUCUUCUAGGCCUAUUUAUUGCUUUCAUCAUGUGUGGUUAUGACUCUGUUGGACUGUGACUGACACCUUCAAAAUAAACUGAAGGAAUAAAAACAACAAUGGGAAGAAAAUGCUCAGUUGGUGGAUGCAAAACUGGCUAUGACAGUCAGAAAGGUGCAGAAAAAGUGACCUUGUAUGGAUUUCCUUCGGAUGAAACAGAAUGUUGGGCAUGGACUGCUAGCUUACCAAACAUUUUAUCCUAUGAAAAGGUGUCAAAACAUAUCAGUGUGUGCCCUCCAUUUCCGUAGAACUCUAACUCAACUCAAGUCAACUUUCUGUCUUUCCAUCGCUUUUGUCUGUCUAGAAUAAUUUUUUACAUGUCCGUUAGUUUGAACACAAACACAGGGAAGCUAAACCAUUGAGAGAGAGAGAGAGAGAGAGAGAGA